AACCCCACGGUGUCGUAACACCCAAACCACCUCCCACUCCUCUCUCCCCUACCCCUCGCCCCAUCGCCCCGCCGCCGCCGCCGCCGCCACCGGCGACGGCGACCCCGAUGGGCGCCUCCGCCUCCGUCCUAUCUCUUCCCGUGGCCGUCUCCUUCCCUGGCGCGGCCACCGCUAUCGCGGGCGCCGCCGGCUGCUUCGCGCUCGGCUACUUCCUCGCCCUCGCCCGCCUCCCCAUCCACGCCGCCGCCGCCCCCGACUCCGGCGACGACGAUUCCGAGGACGACUCGGACGAAGAUGAUGACGAAAAUUCCGGCCGCGCCCGGCCGGCGAAGCGAGCCGCCGGGCGGAAGCGGACCGGGCUCAGGCUGCUGUUCUGGUCCCGGAACGUGGUGACCAAGUCCGACUCCGCCAGGGAAGCCGAGAGGGCGCAGGUCCAGACCGCCGCCGCCCCCCUGGAGAUCGAGAACCUCGCCAAGAUAAUAGAGGAUUUCAAGAUGGUGCUUGUGGUGAGAAACGACCUAAAGAUGGGAAAGGGGAAAAUCGCUGCGCAAUGCAGGGACCAGGGCAGGAAUUAAAAAGCAAACAAAAGCAGGGGCCAUGAGUACAUCUCAACUUUUACUGUAUUUCUUGUUGACAACUAGUGCAGUACUAAAGAUUGGUCCAUCAGAAAUCAACAUCAAUGUUAACUGAAUUUUUUCAAAUUACAGAGCAAGCAAGCAAGCAAUGUACAUAGAUCAGUUAUGUUUUAAAUAACAGAGCAAGCAAGCAAGGCACUGGAGAUGAACAAAUUACAGAACCCUGUACUUGUUCUCACCAGCAGCAGCACGAGUAGGGGACCUCAAGCGGCAGCACACGAGAAGGGGAUCUCCGGGCGGCAGCACGAGCAGGGGAGGAGCAGCAAGUUGCCGAGAAGCAGCAGAAGGGGCUCCAGCUUGAGGUCCAGGAUCGCAAAAGAGCUUGAGGAUGAGCUUGAGGGAGCUCGUGGUCCAGGCGCGGCGGGAGCUCGUGGUCCAGGCGCUCGAGACCCAGGCGCGCGCGGGUCCUGGCCGGCGGCGGCGCAGGCCCUGCGAGGAAGGAGGGGAUAUCGUCGACGCAGGUCCUGGGCGGCGGAGGAGCACGUCUUGUGCGGUGACGGAGCAAGUAGGGCGGCGCAGGUCCUUGGCGGCAGAGGAGCAAGCAGGGCGGCGCGGGUCCUGGGCCGCGGAGGAGCACGUCCUGUGCGGCAACGGAGCAAGCAGGGCGGCGCGGGUCCUGGGUCGCGGAGGAGCACGUCCAGUGCGGCGGCGGAGCAAGCAAUUGGGCGGCGCAGGUCUUGGGCUGACGACUGGCCCUGGCGACGCGCGCCGGCGACGGGCGGAGGAAGAAGGAAGAAGACGCGACCUAUAUGGUGACCUGUUUGUAACAAAUUUGAAGUUAUAAGGGUGUUUUUGAAAAAUUGACAUUACAUUA